CGCCAUUGUAGGCCCGCCCGCCCUUUCCAGAGCGUCGCUGCGGGAUGGAGAAGCGGGAAGAGGGCGCGAGCGGCUUCAGGAAGGAGACUGUUAACAAAAUACUUCAUCUCCGUUUCAAGGAUGACAAAACUCGAGGUAAGUGCUUCUCCUGUACACUUUCUGUAGAGAGCUAGAUUCCUUUUGCAAAUUACCUAGCUGCCUAUAGCACAUAGUGUAGUUGUAGCUGUGUUGGUCCCAGGGUAUUAGAGGCACAAGGUGGGUGAGGUAAUAUUUUAUUGGAGCAU
rnacentral:lncRNA from 1 species